rnacentral:rRNA from 1 species
UGAGGAAUAUUGGUCAAUGGUCGCAAGACUGAACCAGCCAUGCCGCGUGCAGGAAGACGGUCCUAUGGAUUGUAAACUGCUUUUAUACAGGAAGAAACCCUCCCACGUGUGGGAGCUUGACGGUACUGUAGGAAUAAGGAUCGGCUAACUCCGUGCCAGCAGCCGCGGUAAUACGGAGGAUCCAAGCGUUAUCCGGAAUCAUUGGGUUUAAAGGGUCCGUAGGCGGUCUUAUAAGUCAGUGGUGAAAAGCCCAUCGCUCAACGAUGGAACUGCCAUUGAUACUGUAAGACUGAUGCUAGGAAGUAACUAGAAUAUGUAGUGUAGCGGCGAAAUGCUUAGAUAUUACAUGGAAUACCAAUUGCGAAGGCAGGUUACUACUAAGUGAUUGACGCUGAUGGACGAAAGCGUGGGGAGCGAACAGGAUUAGAUACCCUGGUAGUCCACGCCGUAAACGAUGGAUACUAGCUGUUCGGCGCAAGUUGAGUGGCUAAGCGAAAGUGAUAAGUAUCCCACCUGGGGAGUACGCACGCAAGUGUGAAACUUAAAUGAAUUGACGGGGUCAUAGCUGUUUCCUG